AACGAACGCUGGCGGCAUGCCUAACACAUGCAAGUCGAACGAGAACUUCGGGUCUAGUGGCGCACGGGUGCGUAACGCGUGGGAAUCUGCCCUUGGGUUCGGAAUAACAGUUGGAAACGACUGCUAAUACCGGAUGAUGACGUAAGUCCAAAGAUUUAUCGCCCAAGGAUGAGCCCGCGUAGGAUUAGCUAGUUGGUGAGGUAAAGGCUCACCAAGGCGACGAUCCUUAGCUGGUCUGAGAGGAUGAUCAGCCACACUGGGACUGAGACACGGCCCAGACUCCUACGGGAGGCAGCAGUGGGGAAUAUUGGACAAUGGGCGAAAGCCUGAUCCAGCAAUGCCGCGUGAGUGAUGAAGGCCUUAGGGUUGUAAAGCUCUUUUACCCGUGAGGAUAAUGACAGUACCGGGAGAAUAAGCGCCGGCUAACUCCGUG
rnacentral:rRNA from 1 species